rnacentral:rRNA from 1 species
UACGUAGGCAGCAAGCGUUGUUCGGAAUUACUGGGCGUAAAGAGUGUGUAGGCGGUGCUCUAAGUUCGGUGUGAAAUCUCCUGGCUCAACUGGGAGGGUGCGCCGGAAACUGGGGUGCUGGAGCGCGGGAGAGGAAAGCGGAAUUCCUGGUGUAGCGGUGAAAUGCGUAGAUAUCAGGAGGAACACCGGUGGCGAAGGCGGCUAUCUGGACAGGAAACUGACGCUGAGGCGCGAAAGCUAGGGAGCAACAGG